rnacentral:rRNA from 1 species
CAAACGACUCUCGGCAACGGAUAUCUCGGCUCACGCAUCGAUGAAGAACGUAGCAAAAUGCGAUACUUGGUGUGAAUUGCAGAAUCCCGUGAACCAUCGAGUUUUUGAACGCAAGUUGCGCCCGAAGUCAUUUGGCCGAGGGCACGUCUGCCUGGGCGUCACGC